CCUACAGACUGGAGAAACACUAAAGACCCAACAAACAAGCAACGUGUAUGGACCUUGCUGGAUCCUAGUCUAGAGCAAAUCAAUUUUAAAAGACCAUUUAUGAGACAAUUGGGAAAAUUUAAACCUGACUGGAUAUUUGAUAAUCAUUUUAAAAUAUUAUGGAAAUGUAUGUAUGAUAAUGGUAUUCUGGUCAUGCCAUUAUAAUUUAGAAAUACAUACCGCAAUAUCUAGGGAUAAAAUAAUUUGAUAUUUUGGAUUUGCUCCAAAUAAUAAAUCCAGUGGGGGAGGACUUGGGGGGCAGAAAUGAAGCCAAGAGUGGCCUUGUACACAGGGUUCUUUGUACGGUUCUAUUUUUGGGUAUGCUUAAAAUUUUCCACAAUAAAAUGUCUUUGCAGCUCUCACGGAGGUGGGGAGGAAGACUCAGAGACAUCAACCAAGGAGGUCAGUUUCCUCUGAGGCAAUGGCGGGGGCAGAUACCGGAGCAGGGCACCUCCCUCCGCAGUGAGCAAGCAGGAAUGGGCAUGCAGAGGGAGGGGCUCCCAUAGAGGGAACAGCACGAGCCUGGGCAAGAGGGCUCCCUAAUCUGGGACAUAAGGAGAGUGGCUAAGACAGAGAUGGGGGGAGGGCCUUGAAGGCCCCCUGCAAAGCCACGGAGGGCCUUGAAGGCCCAGCCAGGAGGCCCAGGAAGGGUUUAUGCUGGGGUCCCCAUCUCUGAAGCCUCAGAGCAGAGGCUCUCCAGUUCCCCUUGGCCUGUGCGUGCAUCCUUCUCGCCUGCAGAGUUGAUGAGUCCUCAUCUUGCCUCGCUGAAAAUCCAGCUGUGUGAUGUCAAUGGCAUUUCCCUUCAGAAAAAGGAAAUGAGGUUAGCGAGCGUGUUACCAGGAAAGGAAGAUGAGGUGGGCCCCACCUUCGGCAGCCCCAUGUGCCCCACCUCACCCCCACCCUGGGCAUGCUAGGCCCCUCUGCCUGGAGCUGGGGACCGGACACAGAAAUGUCAGUCAUGCUUCAGACAGAGACACUGAUACAACAUGGAUCCAGAAACCAUAUUGUGAGGAAGCCCAAGCCACAUGGAGAGGCCACUCCAAGUGUUCUGGCUAACCCAGUUAAUCUCUUGGCCAGUGGCCAGCUUCAACCACUGGACUUACCCAUGAAUGACUCUUCAGAUGAUUCCAGCUCGCAGACUGCCAACCAUCCCAGCCCUCUGAGUUCCCCCAGCCAGACAGAAGCAAGCUCCUUCCCGUGCCCCACUUCCGCUCCAGCAGGUACAACUUGGAGUCUGUCUUCUGUCCAUUGUUGAGCCCUCCAAGCGAGGUUGGACAGCCCUGGCUCAGAGGCCAGCUCUGUUGCUUCCAGUUGUGCGCCCUUGGGCAAGUCAUCAUCCAUCUAGGAUGUGACAACUGGGCAAAGUUGGGCAAGUCAUCAACCAUCUAGGAUGCUUUAUUUUUUGUGCUGAUGGUAAUCAGGAUAGCACCUCUUGCGGAGUCUGGUGUGCAUCAUCAGUCGCUCAGUUGUGUACGACUCUUUG